AGUUCGAUCCUGGCUCAGAUUGAACGCUGGCGGGAUGCUUUACACAUGCAAGUCGAACGGCAGCACGGACUUCGGUCUGGUGGCGAGUGGCGAACGGGUGAGUAAUGUAUCGGAACGUGCCUAGUAGCGGGGGAUAACUACGCGAAAGCGUAGCUAAUACCGCAUACGUUCCUCGGGGAAAGUAGGACCUUCGGGCCUCGCACUAUUAGAGCGGCCGAUAUCGGAUUAGCUGCUGCGGGGUAAACGGUCACUCAAGGCGACGAUCCGUAGCUGGUUUGAGAGGACGACCAGCCACACUGGGACUGAGAUAUGCACCUAGACUCCUACGGGAGGCAGCAGUGGGGAAUUUUGGACAAUGGGGGAAAUCCCUGAUCCAGCCAUCCUGGCGUGCGAUGAAGGCCUUUGUUAAAAGCACUUUUGGCAGGAAAGAAACGGCACGGGAUAAUACUCCUCAGUGCAACUGACGGUACUCGCAGAAUAAGCACGGCUAACUACGCCAGCAGCCGGCGGUAAUACGUAGGGUGCAAGCGUUAAUCGGAAUUACUGGGCGAAGCGUGCGCAGGCGGUUCGGAAAGAAAGAUGUAAACCUCUGUGAGCUUAACUUUGGAACUGCAUUUUUAACUACCGAGCUAGAGUGUGUCGAGAGGGAAUUCCGCGUGUAGCAGUGAAAUGCGUAGAUAUGCGGAGGAACACCAUGGCGAAGGCAGCCUCCUGGGAUAACACUGACGCUCAUGCACGAAAAGCGUGGGGAGCAAACAGAUUAGAUACCUGGUAGUCCACGCUCCCUUAAACGAUGUUAACCAGCUGUUGGGGCCUUCGGCCUGGUAGCGCAGCUAACGCGCGGGGUUGACCGCCUGGGAGUACGGUCGCAAGACAAAACUGCUAAAGUGGUGAAUUGACGGGGACCCGCACAAGCGGUGGAUGAUGAUUACCUGAUGCAACGCGAAAACUCACUCUACCCUUGACAUGUCUGAAUCCCGAAGAGAUUUGGGAGUGCUCAAAGAGAACCGGAACACAGGUGCUGCAUGGCUGUCGUCAGCUCAGGUCGUGAGAUGUUGGGUUAAGUCCCGCAACGAUGCAACCCUUGUCAUUAGUUGCUACGUGAAAGGGCACUCUAAUGAGACUGCCGGUGACAAACCGGAGGAAGGUGGAUGACGUCAAGUCCUCAUGGCCUUGCGGGUAGGGCUUCACACGUCAUACAAUGGUCGGGACAGAGGGUCGCCAACCCGCAGGGUUAAUCCCAGAAACCCUGAUCGUAGUCCGAUCGCAGUCUGCAACCUCGACUGCGUGAAGUCGGAAUCGCUAGUAAUCGCGGAUCAGCAUGUCGCGGUGAAUACGUUCCCGGGUCUUGUACACACCGCCCGUCACACCAUGGAGUGGGUUUUACCAGAAGUAGUUAGCCUAACCGCAGGAGGGACAUUGCCGACGGGUGAUUCCAUGACUGAAGGAAACAAAAUAAGAAGUA
rnacentral:rRNA from 1 species